rnacentral:rRNA from 1 species
GAGCCUUGAUGUGUAGGAUAGGUGGGAGGCUUUGAAGCGUGGACGCCAGUCUGCGUGGAGCCAACCUUGAAAUACCACCCUUUAAUGUUUGAUGUUCUAACGUAGGCCCCUUAUCGGGGUUGCGGACAGUGUCUGGUGGGUAGUUUGACUGGGGCGGUCUCCUCCCAAAGAGUAACGGAGGAGCACGAAGGUUAGCUAAUCCUGGUCGGACAUCA